rnacentral:rRNA from 1 species
GCAAAUCAUAUCGCUGUAACCUUAAGUUGGAGUACAUCGCCCCUUCCUAGCAAAACCACCAGCAUCACGCAAGCAGAGCAAAUGGAGUCGACCUCUCGCCAUAUGGUUGCGUCCGUCCUCUUGGUCCUUCUCCUCCUCGUCGCCACAGAGAUGGGGACGACGAGGGUGGCGGAGGCGAGGCACAGGCACUGCGAGUCGCAGAGCCACAGGUACCGCGGAGCGUGCUGGAGGGACGACAACUGCAAGCACGUCUGCAACACCGAGGGCUUCCCCUCGGGCAAGUGCAAGUUCCACGGCUUCGAAAGCAAGUGCGUCUGCACGAAACCCUGCCAGUAG